AACGAACGCUAGCGGCGUGCUUAACACAUGCAAGUCGAACGAGAAAAGCUCCUUCGGGAGCCAAGUAAAGUGGCGCACGGGUGAGUAACACGUGAACAACGUGCCCUCAGGUGGGGGAUAACGGGCCGAAAGGCUCGCUAAUACCGCAUGAGACCACGACCCUCGCGGGGGUUGAGGCCAAAGGGGCGUGCUUUCGGGCACGCCUCGCCAGGGGAUCGGUUCGCGGACCAUUAGCUUGUUGGUGAGGUAACGGCUCCACCAAGGCGACGAUGGUUAGCUGGUCUGAGAGGAUGAUCAGCCACACUGGGACUGGAACACGGCCCAG
rnacentral:rRNA from 1 species